GGGUGAUUAGCUCAGCUCGGAGAGCACCUCCCUUACCAGGAGGGGGUCGGCGGUACGAUCCCGUCAUCACCCACCA
rnacentral:tRNA from 1 species